UUUUCUUUAUAGGGACAUUGUCAGUACUUUCCUAUUUGUUGUUGCAUUGCUGAAUUACUUAUGUGUUUUCUCAUUGUUUGUUGAUUUUUUCUUCUUCUUUUCUAUUUAGUUUAAUAUGGCUAACCAAAGAACUCUGAGAGAGCUUGUUGCCGGUAAUGUUAAUUAUAAUGCUUUGUGUAUUGAAUACCCUGUUGUUGUUGUACCUUUCGAAUUGAAAUUUGGUUUAAUACACUUGUUGUCAAGGUUUAAUGGUCUUGCAGGUGAGGAUAUG
rnacentral:lncRNA from 1 species